rnacentral:ncRNA from 1 species
AUCUCAAAGAUGAAGCUGUAUGUAUGUACAGCUGGGACAGUGAGACUGCAGGUAGCUCAUUAAGUCAGUUAUGGGUCCUUUGGUCACUUGGCUUUAACUUGGAUGAUGUAGUUCUAGUGCUAAUACACACCUAAAAGUGAUGACCCGCCCUUGUGGGAGAUGCUUGCCUUUUUCAGAUCAAAAUGCCACCCCAUCGGCUUUCCCUCACUGGUGGCUUUGGAGACUCUGUAGAACCUUGCUAGUUGUAGCCCCUCCUGGUGGCCACAAGCCAGCCAUUGGAACGUCUGCUCUACCCCCUUUCAUUGGUAGUGAUGGUACCAACCAUGGUGACCACAGGUGACAAGGCAUUAAGGUUCAAUUCCAGAGGAAGGACUGCCUUGAGGAAUGGCCACCACAUCCAAAGAAGGCAGUGGGCAUGCAACUUGCCCCUCUGAACCAGAGAAAGGGAGUGGUGAAAGUAAUACAGGACUUCUGUUGUCCUGUCAAAGGAAUGAGUCCACUUUUAUGUCCCUUAAGACAGAUCCACCUGAGGGCAAGUCUGGUUGCCAGCAACUGUGGAAGUUCCACU